rnacentral:rRNA from 1 species
GCCCAUUAUUGUGUACAGAAAACUGAUUUGAACUGCUAUCAAAAGUACCACCUCGCUUUGUUAUGUCCCAUCAUACCAAUUUAUGUACGUCAUUGAAUUAAAAUUCGUAAGCAGCCUCGAGCAUACAUGGAUCAACAGGAGAUUCAUCUUUGAGAUGAAAAGCUGAUGCAAACGACCUGGCUAAGGGUAUGGAGGUGGCAUGUGGCGGCUGAAGAAAUCGGAUUGGGCACACAACCUGGACAAAAACAGCCUUACUCGGCUACAUCUUCAGUGAAGAAAGAAAAGCAGAGGUGCAAAUGGGAUAAAGAACGAACGCUAAAGAGGAACUUUGAAGUGGUAAUCUUGCUCUUGCAACGGAAAAGGAACAGAAUACAUGAAGCCGACUGGUACGGGCUGAAAAAUCAGCCACCUCCUCGGCCCACUUGACGCGAUGCAUGAUCCCUCGUCAUCCUCGCAACACCAUCAUCCGCCGUCUCCACGCCCGCCGGUCGCCGUCAAUAGCAUCAGAUGCUUCCGGCGAGUGGCCCUACAGCACUGGCGCUCCCACCGGUGAGCGGCCUUGCAUCGGAUGCUUCCGGCGAGUAAUCCCGCGUGGCUGGCGCUCCCGCUGGCGACCAGUCUUGCUUGCAGCCGCCCCAUUGUUGCUACCCCCCAUACGAGAGAGUCGCGCGAGAACGCUCGCCGCUGCUGCAACUUCUCGCCGCCGUCAGCUAAUUGCCGUCAAACACACCAUGGAUGGAUUUGUGCUUGCAGAGAGAGCAUGGUUGUUGCUGGAUAUGGCGCGAGCUUGCAGAAGCCUUGGCGGUGGCUCUUGCUUGCGCAGCAGUGUGGGGUUCCCCGCUGGAUAGAGAUAAGGGGAGAGAAGGGAGGAAGGAAAUUGGG